GGGCUCAGUGGUAGAGCAUCUGUUUUGCAAACAGAAGACCACCAGUUCACCCCAUAACAUUUCCAGUCUGGGCUGGCA